rnacentral:rRNA from 1 species
UGAGGAAUAUUGGUCAAUGGGCGAGAGCCUGAACCAGCCAAGUCGCGUGAAGGAAGACUGCCCGCAAGGGUUGUAAACUUCUUUUGUAUGGGAUUAAAGUCACCUACGUGUAGGUGUUCGCAGUUACCAUACGAAUAAGCAUCGGCUAACUCCGUGCCAGCAGCCGCGGUAAUACGGAGGAUGCGAGCGUUAUCCGGAAUUAUUGGGUUUACAGGGUGCGUAGGUUGCAAGGGAAGUCAGGGGUGAAAAGCUGUAGCUCAACUAUGGUCUUGCCUUUGAAACUCUCUAGCUAGAGUGUACUGGAGGUACGUGGAACGUGUGGUGUAGCGGUGAAAUGCAUAGAUAUCACACAGAACUCCGAUUGCGCAGGCAGCGUACUACAUUACAACUGACACUGAAGCACGAAAGCGUGGGUAUCAAACAGG